UACGUAGGGUGCGAGCGUUGUCCGGAAUUAUUGGGCGUAAAGGGCUCGUAGGCGGUUUGUCGCGUCGGGAGUGAAAACCUCGGGCUUAACUCGGGGCUUGCUUUCGAUACGGGCAGACUAGAGGUAUGCAGGGGAGAACGGAAUUCCUGGUGUAGCGGUGAAAUGCGGUAGAUAUCAAGAGGAACACCUGCGGCGAAGGCGGGUUGCUGGGCUGACACUGACGCUGAGGCGCGAAAGCUAGGGGAGCGAACGGG
rnacentral:rRNA from 1 species